GGGGCAGUAGCUCAGCUGGGAGAGCAUUACGCUGGCAGUGUAAGGGUCGUGGGUUCAAGUCCCAUCUGCUCCA
rfam:Spirochaetes bacterium GWB1_36_13 gwb1_scaffold_1985, whole genome shotgun sequence.